GACGAACGCUGGCGGCGUGCUUAACACAUGCAAGUCGAACGAAGUGGCGAACGGGUGAGUAACGGGUAAUCAACCUGCCCUUCUGCGGGGGACAACAGUUGGAAACGACGGCUAAUACCGCAUACUGAAGGAGGGGAUUGCGUCUGAUUAGAUAGUUGGAGGGGUAACGGCCCACCAAGGCGAGGAGCAGUAGCCGGGCUGAGAGGAGGAACGGCCACAGUGGGAAUGAGAAACGGCCCAGACUCCUACGGGAGGCAGCAGUGGGGAAUCUUCCGGAAUGGACGAAAGUCUGACGGAGCAACGCCGCGGGAGGUAUGACGGCCUUCGGGGUGUAAAGCUCUGUUAAUCGGGACGCGGUACCGGAAUAGAAAGCCACGGCUAACUACGUGCCAGCAGCCGCGGUAAUUC
rnacentral:rRNA from 1 species